rnacentral:rRNA from 1 species
AGAGCGAACGCUGGCGGCAGGCCUAACACAUGCAAGUCGAACGGACCCUUCGGGGUUAGUGGCGGACGGGUGAGUAACACGUGGGAACGUGCCUUUUGGUUCGGAAUAGCUCCUGGAAACGGGUGGUAAUGCCGAAUGUGCCCUUCGGGGGAAAGAUUUAUCGCCAUUAGAGCGGCCCGCGUCUGAUUAGCUAGUUGGUGAGGUAAUGGCUCACCAAGGCGACGAUCAGUAGCUGGUCUGAGAGGAUGACCAGCCACAUUGGGACUGAGACACGGCCCAAACUCCUACGGGAGGCAGCAGUGGGGAAUCUUGCGCAAGUGGGCGAAAGCCUGACGCAGCCAUGCCGCGUGAAUGAUGAAGGUCUUAGGAUUGUAAAAUUUCGUUUCACGGGGACGAUAAUGACGGUACCGAGAACGAAGCCCGGCUAACUGUGCCAGCAGCCGAC